GACGAACGCUGGCGGCGUGCCUAAUACAUGCAAGUCGAGCGAACGGACGAGAAGCUUGCUUCUCUGAUGUUAGCGGCGGACGGGUGAGUAACACGUGGAUAACCUACCUAUAAGACUGGGAUAACUUCGGGAAACCGGAGCUAAUACCGGAUAAUAUUUUGAACCGCAUGGUUCAAAAGUGAAAGACGGUCUUGCUGUCACUUAUAGAUGGAUCCGCGCUGCAUUAGCUAGUUGGUAAGGUAACGGCUUACCAAGGCAACGAUGCAUAGCCGACCUGAGAGGGUGAUCGGCCACACUGGAACUGAGACACGGUCCAGACUCCUACGGGAGGCAGCAGUAGGGAAUCUUCCGCAAUGGGCGAAAACCUGACGGAGCAACGCCGCGUGAGUGAUGAAGGUCUUCGGAUCGUAAAACUCUGUUAUUAGGGAAGAACAUAUGUGUAAGUACCUGUGCACAUCUUGACGGUACCUAAUCAGAAAGCCACGGCUAACUACGUG
rnacentral:rRNA from 1 species